GGAGUGGGGCUAACUGCAGUCGAACGCUUUGUGGUUCACUGAUUUGAAGAGCUUGCUCAGAUAUGACGAUGGACAUUGCAAAGAGUGGCGAACGGGUGAGUAACACGUGGGAAACCUACCUCUUAGCAGGGGAUAACAUUUGGAAACAGAUGCUAAUACCGUAUAACAAUAGCAACCGCAUGGUUGCUACUUAAAAGAUGGUUCUGCUAUCACUAAGAGAUGGUCCCGCGGUGCAUUAGUUAGUUGGUGAGGUAAUGGCUCACCAAGACGAUGAUGCAUAGCCGAGUUGAGAGACUGAUCGGCCACAAUGGGACUGAGACACGGCCCAUACUCCUACGGGAGGCAGCAGUAGGGAAUCUUCCACAAUGGGCGAAAGCCUGAUGGAGCAACGCCGCGUGUGUGAUGAAGGGUUUCGGCUCGUAAAACACUGUUGUAAGAGAAGAAUGACAUUGAGAGUAACUGUUCAAUGUGUGACGGUAUCUUACCAGAAAGGAACGGCUAAAUACGUGCCAGCAGCCGCGGUAAUACGUAUGUUCCAAGCGUUAUCCGGAUUUAUUGGGCGUAAAGCGAGCGCAGACGGUUAUUUAAGUCUGAAGUGAAAGCCCUCAGCUCAACUGAGGAAUUGCUUUGGAAACUGGAUGACUUGAGUGCAGUAGAGGAAAGUGGAACUCCAUGUGUAGCGGUGAAAUGCGUAGAUAUAUGGAAGAACACCAGUGGCGAAGGCGGCUUUCUGGACUGUAACUGACGUUGAGGCUCGAAAGUGUGGGUAGCAAACAGGAUUAGAUACCCUGGUAGUCCACACCGUAAACGAUGAGUGCUAGGUGUUUGAGGGUUUCCGCCCUUAAGUGCCGCAGCUAACGCAUUAAGCACUCCGCCUGGGGAGUACGACCGCAA
rnacentral:rRNA from 1 species